rnacentral:rRNA from 1 species
GACGAACCGUCCUAACGUUGUUCGGAAUCACUGGGCUUAAAGGGCGCGUAGGCGGGUCAGCAAGUCCGGGGUGAAAUCUUUCGGCUUAACCGGAAAAGUGCCUCGGAAACGGCUGGCCUGGAGGGAGGUAGGGGCAUGUGGAACUUCUGGUGGAGCGGUGAAAUGCGUUGAUAUCAGAAGGAACGCCGGUGGCGAAAGCGACGUACUGGACCUCUUCUGACGCUGAGGCGCGAAAGCUAGGGGAGCAAACGGG